UAUUUUUUUUUCUUUUCUUUUUCUUUGAACUUCCAGAGAAGUGAACUUUUGUGAUCAUGGAGGUAGAGAUUGAUCAAGCUCCUUCUAGAAAUCCGAGAAAUGCAACUCUAGAACGAAAUGGAGUGGUGAUUCAAAGUACUGGUUCUGAUUCUAUGAGUCUGCAGAAUUCAGAUAACCCAGGUAUGGUCCUAGUUACUGCUCCGUUGAUAGGUAGCAAUAAUAGAUCUUGGAGUAGGGCAAUGAGAAUUACUCUAGGUGCUAAACAGAAAUUGGGAUUUAUAGAUGGAAGUGUUAGGGUUCCUGAUGAAAAUACGAAUGAGUACGAGAUUUAGAGGAAGUGUGAUUUUAUGGUGACUUCUUGGGUAUUGAAUUCCUUAUCCAAGGAGUUGGUUGAGGCCUUUAUAUACACAACAUCUGCCAAAGAGUUGUGGGAUGAAAUUGGGAAAAGAUAUGGAGAGAAAUAGUCCUCUCAUCUUUCAGAUUUAGAAGAAAAUUAGUUCUAUGGUACAAGAGAAUAUGUCAGUUUCUGUCUAUUUCACAAAAUUGAAGAAGCUUUGGGAUGAAUUAGCUAGUGUAGAGCCACUUCCAGCAUGUACAUAUGGUGCUUCCAAAGAAAUUGCCGAGAUUGAUAAUAGAGGGAAGUUAAUGCAGUUUUUGAUGGGUUUGAAUGGUGAUUUUGAUCAAGCUAGAAACCAGAUUUUACUAUCGGAUACUUUACCUUCAAUCAACAAAGCAUAUUCUAUGAUGUUGAAAGUAGAGACACAUAAACAAGUUAUGAGUUCUUACGUUGCACCAAUUGAAUCUGUGGCUUUACAAGCUCAAUCACAAGGUUUUAAGAAAGAUCAAAGAAGAAAUGACAGGAGGAAGGGUCAUUGUGACUACUGUCAACAAGAUGGACAUGUUCGAGACACCUGUUUCAAACUAAUUGGGUACCCUGAUUGGUACAAAAACAAAAAGCACACAGGCAUUUCUACUAGUAAUUUUCAGCAGUCAAAGCAUCCCUAUAACGCAUCUGCUAAACAUGCUACUACUUAUGUAGCUGAGACUCCUAUUGAUAGAGAAGUUUUGGUAAUGCUUGAUAACUCUGAUAGGAUUGGAGAGAUAAGUGCCAUGCUUGGUAAUUUGCAGCAGGAAGUUCAAAGAAUGAUGAAAGGCAAAGCUCUGAUAGUUGCUUCAGCUGUUUCUCAGCAGCAUGUGAAUCAAUACACAGGGAAUUAUUCAGGGCUUCAUGAUACUCACUUUGCUAGUAACUCUAGCUAUUCUAGUAGACGUAAUGCAAGUAAAUAUGUGGAUUGUGUUUGGAUCAUUGACACAGGUGCCACUGAUCAUAUGACACCACAUCACACAUUUUUUACAACCUUUACCUUCCUUGAUUCCCCAAUUUCAGUUCAAUUACCUAAUGGCAAUUCAUGUCAAGUUAACAAAUUUGGAACUGUUUAUGUUUCAUCCUCUCUUACUUUAUAUGAUACUUUGUUUGUUCCCAACUUUCAUUAUAAUUUGUUAUUUGUUCCAAAAUUACUCUCACGAUAAAAAUGACAAUUUUAUUUACCGAUUCCUAUUGUAUUUUUCAGGACCUGAGGACUGAUAAGGUAGUAGCUGUGGGGAGAGUGACACAAGGCCUUUAUACAUUGGAUUCAUCUAGUUUUUUGUCUUCUACAAUAAAACAGUGUUUGUCUAGUAUUUCCCUCUUCAAUACUAUGAUUCCUUUGAAUAAUGACAAUCAUGUUUAAUCUCAUUCUUGUCAAUUUUCUUAAAGUGAUUACUCUCUGUUACAUGCCAGAUUAGGGCAUGCUUCUAUCAAUAAAAUCAAACAAAUUACUGGUUAUCCUUUCUCUAAACAUGACUGCUUGAUUUGUCCACUAGCUAAGCACCAUCACAUGCCUUUUUCCAGAUAGUCUUUCUUAUGCAAAACAUCUUUUUGAUUUAUUGCAUAUUGAUGUUUGGGGACCAUAUAGAACUACAUCAAUAACAGAGGCCAAUUAUUUCCUAACUAUUGUGGAUGAUCAUAGCAAAGCAACCUGGACCUACAUGUUACAUUCCAAAAGUCAAACCUUUAGCACUCUAAAACAGUUUGUCCAAUAUGUUGAAACUCAAUAUAAUACAUCUGUUAAAGUCAUUAGGACUGAUAAUGGGGGAGAGUUUGUCAAUACUCAGUCUAAAUAAUUUUUUGCUCUCAAAGGGAUUGACCAUCAACAUACUUGUCCAUACACUCCUCAACAAAAUGGAGUUGUAGAACUUAAGCAUAGACAUUUGUUGGAUAUUGCUAGAGCUAUGAAACUUCAAGCUUAUGUUCCUGAUGAGUUUUGGUCAGAGUGCAUCUUAACUGCCACAUACAUUGUUCAUAGACUUCCUGUCAAGAAGUUAGGAGGUAAAACACCUUAUGAAAUCAUACACCAUAAGCCACCAACAUAUGAUUCCUUGAGAACCUUUGGUUAUUUGUGUUUUGCAACAAAUUUGUCACCCUCUAAGAGUAAGUUUUCACAAAGAUCCAUCAAAGCUUUGUUCAUGGGUUAUUCUUUGACCAAUAAAGCUUAUAAGUUGUAUGAUUAGAAGUGAAUUCUUUUUUUGUCAGUAGAGAUGUUUUGUUCUAUGAGAAUGUUUUUCCUUUUCAGUUUUUUUCUUCUGUCGAUUCUCCUUCUCUUCCUAUUCUUAUAUUAGAGUCUUCUUUGCCAUCUUAGAACUUUGCACCUCAUGUAGAUAACAUUUCUAAUUCUCCUGAUGUGUCUCUUUCUACCCCUAUUCCUUCUUCUUCACAUCCUUCUUCCCUCGUUGUUUCUGCACCUUUCAUACCUUCUCUUCCUCGAAGGAAAUCCACUAGACAUAUUACUAAACCUUCUUGGCUAAAUGAUUUUGUGCAUAUGGCAGUGACACACUCCUCUUCUACUGCUACAUCAGAUCAGUCCAGCUUAGGUAUAUUUUUUUCACCCAUUGCUUUUAACCCAGCUUAUAUAUCCUUUGUACAUAAUGUGUCAACUGUAUUUAAACCAACCACAUAUUUUUAGGCAUCUACUGAUGCUUGGUGGUUAGAAGCUAUGCAACAAGAAUUGCAAGCCCUUGAAAAAAAUGAGACUUGGGUGUUGACUGAGCUUCCUAAAGGAAAAAAACAAAUUGGAUCAAAGCGGGUGUACAAGGUUAAAUUUAAGCCCUCUGGUGAAGUGGAUAGACUGAAAGCUAGGUUAGUAGUUAAGGGGUGUAAUCAAAUUGAGGGUGUUGAUUAUAAGGAUAGAUUUUCUCCAGUUGCAAAAAUGGGUACUGUUAGAAUUUUUAUAGCUCUUGCUACUGCUAAGUGUUGGCCUAUUUUUCAACUUGACAUUAAUAAUGUAUUUUUGCAUGGUUUCUUAGAUGAAGAGGUGCAUAUGUCACCACCUCCAGGCUAUGAUAAAGCCUUACCUGGUCAGGUUUGCUUACUCAAACGGUCCCUUUAUGGUCUCAAGCAAGCAUCUCAGCAAUAGAACAUUGAAUUUACAGCUUGUCUUCAUUCAUUGGGAUUUAUUCAAUCUCAAAAUAAUCAUUGUUUAUUUACAAGAUCUGUGGAUGAAGAAUUUUUUGGCUUUACUCAUAUAUGUUGAUGAUGUGAUAGUUACAGGCACUUCCAUAACUGCUAUUACUUCCGUCAAAAAGGCACUUCAUGAUAAGUUCACAAUUAAAGAUCUUGGUCCCCUUAAGUGUUUCCUUGAUCUUGAAGUGGCGUGUUCAGAUACGGGCACUAUUGUCAGUCAAAGAAAAUUUAUUUUGGAUCUAAUUCAAAACACUGGUUUGUCUAAUGCCAAAGCUGUUACUAGUCCUUUACCUACUACCUUGCAUCUUUCUCCUGACACGGGGGAUUUUUUGCCUGAUCCGAAUCAGUAUAGAAGAUUGGUGGGACGCCUAUUGUAUGUUAAUCUUACAAGGCCAGAUAUCAACUAUGCGGUUCAACACCUUAGUCAGUUUAUGUCUGCUCCUCGAAUGCCUCAUUGGAUAGCAGCUCUUCAUGUUGUCAAAUACCUAAAGUCUUGUCCCUCUAAAGGUUUAUUUUUUCCUGUCUCUAACGAUCUUCAAUUGUCCGCUUUUUGUGAUGCAGAUUGAGCUUCCUGCACAUUUAGUAGAAAGUCAUUAACUGGCUAUUGUGUAUUCUUUGGGGGUGCUCUUAUUUCUUGGAAAACUAAGAAGCAGGCCACCGUUUCCAAAUCAUCUGCUGAGGCGGAGUAUCGUGCCAUGGCUGCUACUGUUUGUGAGCUCUUGUGGAUCACUUGUGUGCUUUGUGAUUUUCAAGUUUCUGUUACGCUUCCCAUCCCUCUCUACUGUGACAAUAAGGCAGCAUUACACAUUGCUAGUAAUCCAGUCUUCCAUGAGCGCACCAAGCAUUUGGAGAUAGAUUGCCAUAUUGUCCGAGAUCAAUUACAAAAGAGCUUUGUGAUUCCAUCUUAUGUUUCUUCAGUCACUCAGCUGGCUGAUGUGUUUACUAAGCCUUUGUGUACUCCUGCUCAUUCUCGUUUAAAUUCCAAGUUGUCUCUAGUGGACAUCCUUCCAACAGAUCCAACAGGG
rnacentral:misc_RNA from 1 species